ensembl:lncRNA
GUUGGGACGUGUGGGGGGGUGCUUCACUCAAAACGUUCACCUAAAUGUGGAAUUCUUUCCUCCAAGCUGCGGAGUCCUGUUUGCAAAGGGAGGAGGAGAUGGGGGUGUUGCAGUGUGAGAGCAGUUAGUGUGUGACCCGCCCAUGUGACCUGCCUGUUGCUGAGAGCGAUGGCAGGUACUAAGGAGCAGGUCAACAAGGCAACGGUGGUUGCUAUGGAGCAGGUCGUCAUGGCGGUGGUUCGGGCUGUCAGUUGGUGUAUGAGGUGGUGUGGUGAGAUCUCAAAUGAUUGAUGCUAUGCUGAGGACAUCAGGAAGAGUCUCAGAUUGAAGUGGACUCAAAUAUUGCCACUGAAUGCAGACUCAAAGGCGCAGUUGUGUAGCAGUUGAAUAAUGCUGGUUAGCUGUUAAGAUGCGGUGCAGUGCGGUGGUGACAUGGUGUGGCGUGUUGCGGUGCUGAGUGCCCGGUGUGUUCCGGGGCUCGACCCUCCGCUGCUGUUUGCCGGUUUGUAAGCUCACAGGUGUGGCAGAUCAUCCAUCCUCUCCUGUCUUGUGACUUCACCUUCCCUCCAUGUGCUGUACAGAUCCUCUUCUUUCUUUUCUUUUUAUUCUCCCUCCUCCUUCCCCCCCCCCCCCCCCCCCCCCCCCCCUUGCUCCUCUCUAUGGUUUAUCAACUGUUGAUAACUGGUCUUGGUCUUUGAAAGUGGUUCCAGUGGGACUCUUAGUUGAAGGGUUUCAAGGGCAGUUCUGCCUGCUUCAUGAUGUGUAUUGCAUUCCUCUGUGAACCUCUCAAAUGUCUUGUAAGUGCUUACGGUGAAUGCUAAUAAACAUUUUUGUUUAAAAUAAAUUCAUUUCUCACACUUUGUGCUUGUUUAGAGUCUAUAUUGCUGCUGAGCAAUAUAGAACUCCAGUUAAAAGCUACAGUGUUUGACUUUUUUCUUUCUGGGUUUUUUUUUUUUUUUUUUUUUUUUGUGCUUCCACUGACUGUGCCAUUUAUUGGGAACAGCAGUCAUUAUCAGUAAAGAUUUUCAGUGGUUAACACGUCUGCCUCGCAUGCAAAAGUUCCUCAGGACGUGCGACACCCCCAGCCUCAGCUAGGUGGAGGUGUUGUAUCCAUCAUAUAAUCUGUCACAAGUCAAAGACACUGAUCCAUCGAUAUCUGACAACUCAAAGUGUUUAUAUCAACAGACGGUUUUGAUUUAAGAUACUUGAUAACAAUCUGAUGGGUGUUUUGUUUUUGUUUUGUUUUGUUUUUUGUGUGUGUGUGUGUGUGUGUAUGACCAUCACUGUGUAGUAUGUUUUAAUUGUUAGCUAAUAUCUAUCUACAAUAGAAAUGCGACACUUUGUCUUGAAAGCAUUGCUAAGCCUGUGGAAAUAUGCUAAAAUGAAUUGUUCACACAAAUGGGAAGGCUGACACUGACACUACCUCAGAGGAUAAAUACAGCAGUUGAUAACCUUCAAAGCUGGCUCCAUGUUACAGAUAAACUAUUGGGCCCAAAAACUUGAUCUGUGGACUUGCCUAUAAGCAGCUGAUAAAUAACUGAGCCAAUAUAAACACUCCCAAGAGGAGCAGGAGUUGGUGGUCUUGUAGCAAAUAAAUGAUUUAAACUUCCUUUGAUGUACAUAAUUUUGAAUUUAUAUCAAAACAGAAAAUAAAAUUAAUAUAAACAGAUAUUUAAUGUUUAAUUAUGCACUCUGAAAUGGAUUUGGGUGUAAAACAUAGGCUCCAUAAUUAAUCCCAGCAGUUGUUGAUGGGGUGCUUAUAAUUGUAAAACCAUAACAAUUAUAAUGCUUCAUGUAAGCCAAGAUGGGCAUGGAAAAGUUAAAGUGGGUGAACUCUGCUAAAGUUAAUGUCAACAUUUUAUUUUGCAACUACAGUUUUG